UACGUAGGGGGCAAGCGUUGUCCGGAAUCAUUGGGCGUAAAGCGCGCGUAGGCGGCCCGAUAAGUCUGCUGUGAAAGUCCAGGGCUCAACCCUGGAAUGCCGGUGGAUACUGUCGGGGCUAGAGUUCGGAAGAGGCAAGUGGAAUUCCACGUGUAGCGGUGAAAUGCGUAGAGAUGUGGAGGAACACCGAUGGCGAAGGCAGCCUCCUGGGCCAACACUGACGCUCAUGCACGAAAGCGUGGGGAGCAAACAGG
rnacentral:rRNA from 1 species